AGGCCUAACACAUGCAAGUCGAGCGCCGUAGCAAUACGGAGCGGCAGACGGGAGAGUAACACGUGGGAACGUGCCCUUCAGUUCGGAACAACCCAGGGAAACUUGGGCUAAUACCGGAUGCGUCCGUAAGGAGAAAGAUUUAUCGCUGAAGGAUCGGCCCGCGUCUGAUUAGCUUGUUGGUGAGGUAACGGCUCACCAAGGCGACGAUCAGUAGCUGGUCUGAGAGGAUGAUCAGCCUCACUGGGACUGAGACACGGCCCAG
rnacentral:rRNA from 1 species